rnacentral:rRNA from 1 species
UACAUGGGGUGCAAACGUUGCUCGGAAUCAUUGGGCGUAAAGCGCGCGUAGGCGGUUGCUUAAGUCGGAUGUGAAAGCCCUCGGCUUAACUGAGGAAGUGCAUCCGAAACUGAGCAGCUAGAGUACGAAAGAGGGUCGCGGAAUUCCCGGUGUAGAGGUGAAAUUCGUAGAUAUCGGGGAGGAACACCGGUGGCGAAGGCGGCGACCUGGGUCAGA